GGAGGGCGUAGCUCAGUGGUAGAGUGCAUGCUUAGCAUGCAUGAGGUCCUGGGUUCAAUCCCCAGUGCCUCCA
rnacentral:tRNA from 1 species